GUUGACCUGAAAGAAACGUUACUCAGUGUUCUGGUGUCAAACAUCGACACUCUGCCACAAUGCUAGAUUGCCACACAGUCUGGGAUCUGUGACUGUAAGUGCAAAAGACAUCAGGCACAAAACGGUGCUGAAGGCACAAUUAAAUAUAUGCAUGUCAUUGCAUUCAGUAAUCAGCUGGCAUCUGAAAACAAAUCGUGUUUAAAAUAAUUGCCAUUUGUUUUUAUAUUUGAUCAAAUGCAAUGGAAUUCAUAAAUUUUUAUCUGUGUGUAUUCUGUUUGAAUUAUAGCUUACCUACUGUACAAUACAUUGCAUUAUGUUUCCUGUGAUACACACACACUGAGUGAUGCUGGGGCAGUAAAUGUUAUUUUAUCUCUCUCAGGGUAAUUCAAUACUGUCACAAGAGCUUUUGAGUGUGUUCCAGAAUGCAGUUUGUUACAGUAUCAGUAUGCAAGAAUAUGAACUAAUGUGAACUUUGUUUUCUCUGCACUUCUCAUGAUUACAUUUCUGAAAAUGUCUUCAUAAAUAUAACAAAAUAUCUUGAUAUAUCGCAAGAUAUCUAAAUGGGCCACGAUUAAGAACCAAGAUAUUUGUGAAAAAAACCAUGGAAGAAACAAGUAUCAGAAAGUACAAAGAAAGUAAAAAUAUAUUAAUUUAUUUUAUAUAUUUCAAUGCCAAAAAAAACACACGGGUGCAGUUUGAUGACACAUGCUGGCAGCGUCACGCCCCCUCUCUUCGGCCUCUGGGAUUGGCUUUGCAGUUGGUCCACUGUGACCCUGGUGUCGUCACCCGCAUACUCCACCUCUCCGACCACCUGACCCAUGCCGCGCUGGUGCGCACUCGACCCCCAUGUCAGCCGGUCCGCCCACCCUGGGGCCUCUGCCAUCUACCGAGGAUUCUGGGCUUCUCCACCUCCGCGAAAGAGCCUUUUGAGCAGAGAAUGAGUGCGGCAGCCUACACCCUGCCCUCCAUCUCCUGCCCUGGAGACCCGGGGAUCAUUGCUCCACCCUCUGUGUGAAUGAGACACCUCUCAUAACCCUGCUGGUGCACCACACUUACACCGGCGAUCUUCAGUUGUUCUCAUAUGGCUCGGCUGACAUAAUUUUGGGUGCAUGCACUGAAUUCUGGGAUAUUCAACCCCUCACAGACUCCGACAGGAAGAAAGCUGUGGAUUUUUAUCAGCGUUCCUGUAUGGCUGGUCAGUGUGUUGCUGUUUCCUGUUACAACCACAUGACCCAGAAAUAGAUGACACCUGUGUGGAACUGCCUUUGAACCCCAGUGCUGACACUACAGAUGAUUUCUCUAUCACACCCUUCAGGCAGCAGAUCUUUCUGGGUCUGGUGUCCUCACAGUAUCAAGCCCGUCCUGAUAUGGUCAGGCUUAUCUCAGGGCUGGACAGUGCUUGCAUUCGUUUAGUCUAUUUUUCCAGUGAAGAGGAAGUUCGGAGUGAGGUGUUUGCUGAGAAAAUGGUACUGGAGACGGGAUGGAGCUGUCACAUCUCCCUCCAAUCAGAGAGCUUCCCUCUCGACCCAGAAAACGUGCAGGAGCCGGUGACAGAGGAAGAGGAAGAAAUUCUGCUGAGAGACAGUGUCAGAGAGAGGGCAGAUUCAAGAGCAAUGGAGCAUGAUGUCUCAUCGAGGACCUAAA